GAUCCAGUAGCUCAGCUCGGUAGAGCACCGGUCACACGCGCCGGGGGUCGUGGGAUCGAAGCCCACCUGGAUCA
rnacentral:tRNA from 1 species